CACGGGGGGAGCAAGCGUUGUUCGGAUUCAUUGGGCGUAAAGGGCUCGUAGGUGGCUUUGUAAGUCGGAGGUGAAAUCCCACGGCUCAACCGUGGACACGCCUUCGAAACUGUGAAGCUUGAGGCUGGGAGAGGAGAUCGGAAUUCCUGGUGUAGCGGUGAAAUGCGUAGAUAUCAGGAAGAACACCCGUGGCGAAGGCGGCUUUCUGGGACGGUACUGACGCUGAGACGCGAAAGCGUGGGGAGCGAACAGG
rnacentral:rRNA from 1 species